GGGUGCGAUCAUACACGUACUAAAGCACCGGAUCCUAUAAGAACUCCCAAGUUAAGCUUGCUUGGGCGAGAGGAAUACUAGGAUGGUUGACACGUUGGAAUGUCCUCGUGUUGCACUCC
rnacentral:rRNA from 15 species